rnacentral:lncRNA from 1 species
CUGGCUUGUUCCUUCCGGGACAGACAACGCGUGGUUUUUCUCCCAAUACACUCCCUCAACCGCGCACAGCGUUACUGCAAUGAGACCAGUGACCAGAUUUGCAGACCUGUUUCCAGAUCUCAGCCGCCUCUGCCUUUCAGAAGCACUUGCCCCAGUAGAAACGCUCAGAUCACAAAUUCUCUUAGACGUUUCAGCUAUAUAAUCUCCUUCUCCUCCCUUCGACUCAAAGCCAGGUCCCCCCUUUCACCCCCUUAUAUCCUCUAAGUGUCUGAGGUCUCCCAGGGCCCCCUCUCUAUUCAGUUCCUGGGUAAUCACAGGGCCAACGAGGCGGCUCCCCAUGGUUCAUUACAACACCAAGCUCUCUCCAGACUCCCUUUUCCAGCCUGUUUUAGGACAUCUGUACCUCUGGGACCAUAGUCCCCUUCAAUAUGACAGAUCUACAAGGACUCUCUACACGUCUCCCACCACAUCAUCCUCUCUUCCUCCUCAGUUUCUCUUAAGAACUUCACCAUCCUUGGUCCCUUCUGAUUUCCUCUUUCUCCUUCAUCUCCGGGAGUCAAAGUCAGCUCCUUCAACGCUAUUUCAAUCCCACAGCCAUAGUCUUAGUCUAGGCUUUCCCCUCCCUUCAGUCUGGAUUACUGCACAGGCUUCCUAAACACUGUGCCUGCCUCAGUUACAACCAGAGUGCUCCAAGCCACCCACAGCGCCCCAUCUGCUGAAUGUCACACAUGGUGGAUGCUUCUACUCUACCAUGGAAACCAUAGCUCCCACAAUCUAUUGUCUGGCACCACCCCCAUUUCUCUGGUGACAUUUCCCCAGGGUUGCAGUAAACGUGGGCUCUGGGAUCUCCUCACCCUAUCCCACCAGGAUGCCACUGCCUAAGCAGUCUCCCUCUUCCAGGUUACUGUCACCUCUGCCUUGGAACCCAUCAGACCACAGCAUAUCCUCAAAAUCUUCCCAGUUAGGCUGGUCUGAGUGCAGUGGUGUUUACAACUAAUUGAUCACAACCAGUUAUAGAUGUUUUUGUUUCAUCUUCACUCCCACUGUUUCACUUGACUAGCCUUUAAAAAAAAAAAAAAAGGAAAAAGGGUCCGGGCACGGUGGCUCACGCCUGUAAUCCCAGCACUUUGGGAGGUCGAGGUGGGCAGAUCACGAGGUCAGGAGAUCGAGAGCAUCCUGCUAACACAGUGAAACCCCGUCUCUACUAAAAAUACAAAAAACUUAGCUGGGCGUGGUGGCGGGUACCUGUAGUCCCAGCUGCUCAGAAGGCUGAGGCAGGAGAAUGGGGUCAACCCGGGAGGCGGAGCUUGCAGUGAGCUGAGAUUGCGCC